GACGAACGCUGGCGGCGUGCCUAAUACAUGCAAGUCGAACGCAGUUGCGAACGGGUGAGUAACGCGUAGGUAACUGCCUCUUAGCGGGGGAUAACUAUUGGAAACGAUAGCUAAUACCGCAUACUUUGAGAUGGUCCUUUGUUGUAUUAGCUAGUUGGUGGGGUAAAGGGACACCAAGGCGAAGAUUCAUAGCCGGCCUGGGAGGGUGAACGGCCAAACUGGGACUGGGACACGGGCCAGACUCCUUCGGGGAGGAGCAGGUGGGAAACUUCGGCAAAGGACGGAAGGCUGACCGAGGAACGCCGGGGUGGUGAAGGAAGUUUUCGGGUCGUAAAAGUCUGUUGUUAGGGGAGCGGUAACUAACCAGAAAGGGACGGCUAACUACGUGCCAGCAGCCGCGGUAAUAC
rnacentral:rRNA from 1 species